rnacentral:misc_RNA from 1 species
GAAAUGCGAUACGUAGUGUGAAUUGCAGAAUUCCGUGAAUCAUCAAAUCUUUGAACGCAUAUUGCACUCGACCUUCGGGAAGAGUACGUUUGCCUCAGCGUCGGUUUAAUAUCACCCCCACACACCCUGUGUGUAUGGUGGAUCUGGCUUUCCCAGUUAUUUAUCGUUGUGCCUUCUGGCAAAUCGAUAAAAUUCGGCUGGGUUGGCUGAAGUGCAGAGGUUAGCAUAAGGACCCGUUAUGGGCCGCAACUGGGCAGGCAGCUUUACGCUCGCUAAAUCUAGUUGUUGGCUUGGGAUUUUGUGCUUGACCCACAAACAGGAAACCCUAUUUAUUAAUCCGACCUGAGCUCAAGCGAGGACACCCGCUGAACUUAAGC